AUUGAACGCUGGCGGAAUGCUUUACACAUGCAAGUCGAACGGUAGAGGGGGCAACCCCUCGAGAGUGGCGAACGGGUGAGUAAUAUAUCGGAACGUGCCCAGUCGUGGGGGAUAACGUAGCGAAAGUUACGCUAAUACCGCAUACGAUCUAAGGAUGAAAGCGGGGGAUCGCAAGACCUCGCGCGAUUGGAGCGGCCGAUAUCAGAUUAGGUAGUUGGUGGGGUAAAGGCUCACCAAGCCAACGAUCUGUAGCUGGUCUGAGAGGACGACCAGCCACACUGGAACUGAGACACGGUCCAGACUCCUACGGGAGGCAGCAGUGGGGAAUUUUGGACAAUGGACGCAAGUCUGAUCCAGCCAUUCCGCGUGCAGGAUGAAGGCCCUCGGGUUGUAAACUGCUUUUGUACGGAACGAAAAGCUCUCUCUAAUACAGGGGGCUCAUGUCGGUACCGUAAGAAUAAGCACCGGCUAACUACGUGCCAGCAGCCGCCGUAA
rnacentral:rRNA from 1 species